rnacentral:rRNA from 1 species
UGGGGAAUAUUGCACAAUGGGCGCAAGCCUGAUGCAGCCAUGCCGCGUGUAUGAAGAAGGCCUUCGGGUUGUAAAGUACUUUCAGUCGGGAGGAAGGUGGUAAGGUUAAUAACCUUGGCAAUUGACGUUACCGACAGAAGAAGCACCGGCUAACUCCGUGCCAGCAGCCGCGGUAAUACGGAGGGUGCAAGCGUUAAUCGGAAUUACUGGGCGUAAAGCGCACGCAGGCGGUUGAUUGAGUCAGAUGUGAAAUCCCCGGGCUUAACCCGGGAAUUGCAUCUGAUACUGGUCAGCUAGAGUCUUGUAGAGGGGGGUAGAAUUCCAUGUGUAGCGGUGAAAUGCGUAGAGAUGUGGAGGAAUACCGGUGGCGAAGGCGGCCCCCUGGACAAAAACUGACGCUCAGGUGCGAAAGCGUGGGGAGCAAACAGG